rnacentral:rRNA from 1 species
AUGGGGUGCACCAGGCGCGAAACCUCCGCAAUGCGGGCAACCGCGACGGGGGGACCCCCAGUGCCGUGGCAUCGCCACGGCUUUUCCGGAGUGUAAAAAGCUCCGGGAAUAAGGGCUGGGCAAGGCCGGUGGCAGCCGCCGCGGUAAUACCGGCGGCCCGAGUGGUGGCCGCUAUUAUUGGGCCUAAAGCGUCCGUAGCCGGGCCCGUAAGUCCCUGGCGAAAUCCCACGGCUCAACCGUGGGGCUUGCUGGGGAUACUGCGGGCCUUGGGACCGGGAGAGGCCGGGGGUACCCCUGGGGUAGGGGUGAAAUCCUAUAAUCCCAGGGGGACCGCCAGUGGCGAAGGCGCCCGGCUGGAACGGGUCCGACGGUGAGGGACGAAGGCCAGGGGAGCGAACCGGAUUAGAUACCCGGGUAGUCCUGGCUGUAAAGGAUGCGGGCUAGGUGUCGGGCGAGCUUCGAGCUCGCCCGGUGCCGAAGGGAAGCCGUUAAGCCCGCCGCCUGGGGAGUACGGCCGCGAGGCUGAAACUUAAAGGAAUUGGCGGGGGAGCAC